AGCGAACGCUGGCGGCAGGCCUAACACAUGCAAGUCGAACGAACUCUUCGGAGUUAGUGGCGGACGGGUGAGUAACACGUGGGAACGUGCCCUUAGGUUCGGAAUAACUCACGGAAACUUGUGCUAAUACCGAAUGUGCUCUUCGGGGGAAAGAUUUAUCGCCUUUAGAUCGGCCCGCGUCUGAUUAGCUAGUUGGUGAGGUAAAGGCUCACCAAGGCGACGAUCAGUAGCUGGUCUGAGAGGAUGAUCAGCCACAUUGGGACUGAGACACGGCCCAAACUCCUACGGGAGGCAGCAGUGGGGAAUCUUGCGCAAUGGGCGAAAGCCUGACGCAGCCAUGCCGCGUGAAUGAUGAAGGUCUUAGGAUUGUAAAAUUCUUUCACCGGGGACGAUAAUGACGGUACCCGGAGAAGAAGCCCCGGCUAACUUCGUG
rnacentral:rRNA from 1 species